rnacentral:rRNA from 1 species
AACGAACGCUGGCGGCAGGCUUCAUACAUGCAAGUCGAACGGCCCGCAAGGGCAGUGGCGCACGGGUGCGUAACACGUGGGAAUAUGCCCUUCAGUACGGAACAACGUCGGGAAACUGACGCUAAUACCGUAUAAUGUCUCCGGACCAAAGAUUUAUCGCUGAAGGAUUAGCCCGCGUCUGAUUAGGUAGUUGGAGAGGUAAUGGCUCACCAAGCCGACGAUCAGUAGCUGGUCUGAGAGGAUGAUCAGCCACACUGGGACUGAGACACGGCCCAGACUCCUACGGGAGGCAGCAGUAAGGAAUAUUGGACAAUGGGGGAAACCCUGAUCCAGCCAUGCCGCGUGAGUGAAGAAGGCCUUCGGGUUGUAAAGCUCUUUUACCCCUGACGAUAAUGACGGUAAGGGGAGAAAAAGCCACGGCUAACUUCGUGCCAGCAGCCGCCGUAA